rnacentral:tRNA from 1 species
GCCUGGGUGGCUUAGUCGGUUGAGUGUCUGACUUUGGCUCAGGUCAUGAUCUCACAGCUCAUGGGUUUGAGCCCCACAUCGGGCU